UAAAGCUACUCUCAGUUCGGAUUGUAGGCUGAAACUCGCCUACAUGAAGCUGGAGUUACUAGUAAUCGCAGAUCAGAAUGCUGCGGUGAAUGCGUUCCCGGGUCUUUUACACACCGCCCGUCACACCCCGGGAGUUGGAGACGCCCGAAGCCGAUUAUCUAACCUUUUGGAAGAAGUCGUCGAAGGUGGAAUCAAUAACUGGGGUGAAGUCGUAACAAGGUAGCCGUAUCGGAA
rnacentral:rRNA from 1 species